rnacentral:rRNA from 1 species
CCUACGGGUGGCAGCAGUGAGGAAUAUUGGUCAAUGGACGAGAGUCUGAACCAGCCAAGUAGCGUGAAUGAUGACUGCCCUAUGGGUUGUAAACUUCUUUUAUAUGGGAAUAAAAUGUUCCACGUGUGGGAUUUUGUAUGUACCAUAUGAAUAAGGAUCGGCUAACUCCGUGCCAGCAGCAGCGGUAAUACGGAGGAUCCGAGCGUUAUCCGGAUUUAUUGGGUUUAAAGGGAGCGUAGGUGGAUUGUUAAGUCAGUUGUGAAAGUUUGCGGCUCAACCGUAAAAUUGCAGUUGAAACUGGCAGUCUUGAGUACAGUAGAGGUGGGCGGAAUUCGUGGUGUAGCGGUGAAAUGCUUAGAUAUCACGAAGAACUCCGAUUGCGAAGGCAGUUCACUGGACUGCAACUGACACUGAGGCUCGAAAGUGUGGGUAUCAAACAGGAUUAGAUACCCUUGUAGUC